GGCUCCACGGUGGUCUAGGGGUAUGAUUCUCGCUUUGGGUGCGAGAGGUCCCGUUCAAAUCCCGGCCGGGCCU
rnacentral:tRNA from 1 species